rnacentral:rRNA from 1 species
UACGUAGGCAGCGAGCGUUGUUCGGAGUUACUGGGCGUAAAGAGCUCGUAGGCGGUCGGGUAAGUCGGGUGUGAAAUCUCCGGGCUCAACUCGGAGGGGCCACCCGAUACUGCACGACUCGAGUCCGGUAGGGGAGUGGGGAAUUCCUGGUGUAGCGGUGAAAUGCGCAGAUAUCAGGAGGAACACCGGUGGCGAAGGCGCCACUCUGGGCCGGUACUGACGCUGAGGAGCGAAAGCGUGGGUAGCAAACAGG